AUUGAACGCUGGCGGCAUGCCUUACACAUGCAAGUCGAACGGCAGCACGGGUGCUUGCACCUGGUGGCGAGUGGCGAACGGGUGAGUAAUAUAUCGGAACGUAACUUAUUGUGGGGGAUAACGCCGAGAAAGCUGUGCUAAUACCGCAUAAUCACUAAGGGGGAAAGCGGGGGACCGUAAGGCGUCGCGCAAUUAGAGCGGCCGAUACCUGAUUAGCGAGUUGGUGAGGUAAAGGCUCACCAAGGCAACGAUCAGUAGCUGGUCUGAGAGGACGAUCAGCCACACUGGGACUGAGACACGGCCCAGACUCCUACGGGAGGCAGCAGUGGGGAAUUUUGGACAAUGGGGGCAACCCUGAUCCAGCAAUGCCGCGCGAGUGAAGAAGGCCUUCGGGUUGUAAAGCUCUUUUGUCAGUGAAGAAAACUUUAAUAAUAACACUAUUAAAGCAUGACGGUAACUGAAGAAUAAGGACCGGCUAACUACGUGCCAGCAGCCGCCGUAA
rnacentral:rRNA from 1 species